AUUGAAUGCUGGCGGCAUGCUUUACACAUGCAAGUCGAACGGUAACAGGCCUUCGGGUGCUGACGAGUGGCGAACGGGUGAGUAAUGCAUCGGAACGUACCCAGAGGUGGGGGAUAACGCAGCGAAAGCUGUGCUAAUACUGCAUGUGAUCUGAGGAUGAAAGCGGGGGACCGAGCAGCAAUGUUUGGCCUCGCGCCUUUGGAGCGGCCGAUGUCGGAUUAGCUAGUUGGUGGGGUAAAGGCCUACCAAGGCGACGAUCCGUAGCUGGUCUGAGAGGACGACCAGCCACACUGGGACUGAGACACGGCCCAGACUCCUACGGGAGGCAGCAGUGGGGAAUUUUGGACAAUGGGCGCAAGCCUGAUCCAGCAAUGCCGCGUGCGGGAAGAAGGCCUUCGGGUUGUAAACCGCUUUUGGCAGGAACGAAACGGUGUCCGCUAAUACCGGGCGCUAAUGACGGUACCUGCAGAAUAAGCACCGGCUAACUACGUG
rnacentral:rRNA from 1 species